rnacentral:rRNA from 1 species
CGCGUAGGCGGUCUUUUAAGUUCCGUGUGAAAUCCCUCGGCUCAACUGGGGAACGGCACGGGAAACUGGGAGGCUUGAGUUCGGGAGAGGGAAGCGGAAUUCCGGGUGUAGCGGUGAAAUGCGUAGAUAUCCGGAGGAACACCGGUGGCGAAGGCGGCUUCCUGGACCGACACUGACGCUGAGGCGCGAAAGCUAGGGGGAGCAAACGG